UCCCUCUGGCUCCUCCCCGUACCCUUCCCAUCUUCACCCUUUUUGGUCUUUCCACCUCAUCCUCAGUCCGGACUCAUUCUCUUCCCAGCAUCCCUUGCUGGACCUCGAUCCCGGAAAGGCAUUCAGAGGAGCCUUCGGAGUUGGCAGCGAGGGAACAGGAUGAUCUUGCCAAUACCACCUACCCAAGGAACUGAAUUUACAAAGUGAAUCCCCUCCAGCCACCAUGGGCCGUAGCCACUGCCAACUUUAUAAUUGAAGGGAAGAGCAAAAUCUGAGGCCGAAGCUUCCAUUAACCGUCUUCCACAGCCCAAUGACCCCACUUGCUAAGGGGUCAUGACCAUGUAGUCAAACAACCAAGGUCAGGGGGUAGAAAACAGAUGGGGACGAAUGGUUUGCAGAUCCCACACCUUCUUUUAAAAAUCUGUUUCAAAAAAAAGGUUUCUGUGGAAGAACAUUUCCGAAGGUGCCUUUAUAAACACUCCACUUGGGCCCUGGGCCUCUAAAAAGUGUUUUUGUGUAAGGCAUUUGCCAUCCAACAAGGUUUUAUUGAAUAUCCACACACACCCCCCUCCACCGUUGUUGUUACAAUAAUCCAUGCUGAUUAUAAACCAUGCUCCAUAAAAUGCCCCCAAACACAUCCACACCAGGCAGCACCACAGGGCAGACUCAAGCCAGAGCGCCUCAGACCAUAAAACCUAGACCGCCAGGAACUCGGCUGCCAUUUAUUUCCCUGCCAUGGGCUUUCCCUCUGUCUCUCUCUAGGCAGAUUUUCCUUGUGUUGAAAGGGAACCUCUGGUCAAAAGUCAGCAAGCAAACUUGUAGAAAGCUUUGAUAGUCAGUGAAGUGAAUCAUGGCUACACAUGGCAGCCGCAUGCACCAAUGGAGCCUCUUGCUGGGCGGACCUCCCUCGAAGAAGAGCAUCCCCUGGUCAUCAGUCAAAGGGGCCCCCAACAGCUAGGUGCAGCCAAUGGCUUCACCAGCUCCGCUGUGCCUUGGGUCCCUAUUGCCCUUUUUCCACAGGUAUUGCUAAAACAAAUAGCAGACACUAUUUACUGGGUGUGAUGCUUUCAAUCGCAUUAAUCUAGCCAGUAAAAAAAUUUAUGGCUAAUAAAAAUUCCACCAUGACAUGGCUGAUUGGAGGGGAGGCUGCGGGAUGGAAAUCCAAGCCACGCCUCGGCCUCUAGCUAGGCUUGACUCAAACGCUGGAAGGAAGUAGGAGACCGGGAAGAGAAAGACAGAAAAAUCUCUGGGGUUGUUAAAACUAAUUCAAGGGUAGAUGGCUAAAACUCUUAAAGCGUUUAAUAAGCCCAGACUCUGUAGUGUGAUUGACUGGACACCUACCCUGAAAAGCUACGUGGGGAAAGUAUAGAUAUGUCUUGCUUCCAGUAGAAAAAGCACCCUAAGUUCCAGCUAGUCUUAUGAUCACAUGAUUGUUUUCCUAUAAUAAAACAUAUAUUUAGAA